UCCAAGUUUCUAGUCUCAUCUUUCAGUAGG
rnacentral:piRNA from 1 species